rnacentral:tRNA from 1 species
AGAGAGCGAGGGGGCGGA